rnacentral:rRNA from 1 species
AUUGAACGCUGGCGGCAGGCCUAACACAUGCAAGUCGAACGGUAACAGGAAACAGCUUGCUGUUUCGCUGACGAGUGGCGGACGGGUGAGUAAUGUCUGGGAAACUGCCUGAUGGAGGGGGAUAACUACUGGAAACGGUAGCUAAUACCGCAUAACGUCGCAAGACCAAAGAGGGGGACCCUCGGGCCUCUUGCCAUCGGAUGUGCCCAGAUGGGAUUAGCUUGUUGGUGGGGUAACGGCUCACCAAGGCGACGAUCCCUAGCUGGUCUGAGAGGAUGACCAGCCACACCGGAACUGAGACACGGUCCAGACUCCUACGGGAGGCAGCAGUGGGGAAUAUUGCACAAUGGGCGCAAGCCUGAUGCAGCCAUGCCGCGUGUAUGAAGAAGGCCUUCGGGUUGUAAAGUACUUUCAGCGGGGAGGAAGGGAGUAAAGUUAAUACCUUUGCUCAUUGACGUUACCCGCAGAAGAAGCACCGGCUAACUCCGUG